rnacentral:rRNA from 1 species
GACGAACGCUGGCGGCAUGCUUAACACAUGCAAGUCGAACGAGAAAGCUUCUUCGGAAGUGAUUAAAGUGGCGCACGGGUGAGUAACGCGUAGACAAUCUGCCCUUCAGUCCGGGACAACUUUCCGAAAGGGGAGCUAAUACCGGAUAACAAUGUUUGACAUAAGUUGAAUAUUUGAAAGCUCCGGCGCUGAUGGAUGAGUCUGCGUCCCAUUAGCUUGUUGGUGCGGUAGUGGCGCACCAAGGCUGCGAUGGGUAGCGGGUUUGAGAGGACGAUCCGCCACACUGGAACUGAGACACGGUCCAGACUCCUACGGGAGGCAGCAGUGGGGAAUAUUGCACAAUGGAGGAAACUCUGAUGCAGCAAUGCCGCGUGAGUGAAGAAGGCCCUUGGGUCGUAAAGCUCUUUUAUGGGGGAAGAUGAUGACG